AUUGAACGCUGGCGGCAGGCCUAACACAUGCAAGUCGAGCGGAUGAAGGGAGCUUGCUCCUGGAUUCAGCGGCGGACGGGUGAGUAAUGCCUAGGAAUCUGCCUGGUAGUGGGGGAUAACGUCCGGAAACGGGCGCUAAUACCGCAUACGUCCUGAGGGAGAAAGUGGGGGAUCUUCGGACCUCACGCUAUCAGAUGAGCCUAGGUCGGAUUAGCUAGUUGGUGGGGUAAAGGCCUACCAAGGCGACGAUCCGUAACUGGUCUGAGAGGAUGAUCAGUCACACUGGAACUGAGACACGGUCCAGACUCCUACGGGAGGCCGCAGUGGGGAAUAUUAGACGAUGGGCGAAAGCCUGAUCCAGCCAUGCCGCGUGUGUGAAGAAGGUCUUCGGAUUGUAAAGCACUUUAAGUUGGGAGGAAGGGCAGUAAGUUAAUACCUUGCUGUUUUGACGUUACCAACAGAAUAAGCACCGGCUAACUUCGUG
rnacentral:rRNA from 1 species